GACGAACGCUGGCGGCGUGCUUAACACAUGCAAGUCGAACGGAAAGGCCCUGCGUUUGUGGGGUGCUCGAGUGGCGAACGGGUGAGUAACACGUGAGUAACCUGCCCUUGACUUUGGGAUAACUUCAGGAAACUGGGGCUAAUACCGGAUAGGAGCUCCUGCUGCAGGGCGGGGGUUGGAAAGUUUCGGCGGUUGGGGAUGGACUCGCGGCUUAUCAGCUUGUUGGUGGGGUAGUGGCUUACCAAGGCUUUGACGGGUAGCCGGCCUGAGAGGGUGACCGGCCACAUUGGGACUGAGAUACGGCCCAUACUCCUACGGGAGGCAGCAGUGCGGAAUAUUGCACAAUGGGCGGAAGCCUGAUGCAGCAACGCCGCGUGCGGGAUGACGGCCUUCGGGUUGUAAACCGCUUUCGCCUGUGACGAAGCGUGAGUGACGGUAAUGGGUAAAGAAGCACCGGCUAACUACGUG
rnacentral:rRNA from 1 species